CUCCUUCUUCCUCCUUAUGUGAAGUCUAAAAUUCAAUUGUUUUACCUCAAUGAAAGGCCCCUUUUGCUUGCCUAUUCAUUUCUUCAAAUUCACUAUUAUGCUCCAUUGAUCUCUUUGAAAAUUGAUUUCCAUUAUCCAUAAUUCCCCUUUGUUCCCGUUGAGAAAAGAUACCAACUUUAAUAUUUCACCCUCAUAAAAACCCAAAAAUAAUCCAUAAGAUCUAUCCUUUCCAUUCUCUCCUUUCAUAUUAGUUGGAAACUGUGCAAAAGAAAGUUAUUACCCCAAGUCAAUCAAGUGUCAGCAACACAAAUCUUAAUGAGAUGCGUGCAACUUUGAGAAAGCAAAUCAUGGAAGCAAUUUCCUCUAAAUUCAUUUGGAGAACCAAAGUACAGUGACAUUUAAGUAUUAUCAUUUCAUGGUUAAAGUUUUGAAUAUUCAAA
rnacentral:lncRNA from 1 species